GUACCAGUACCUACCACAAUUGCUUAAAGAUGACUAAUGAAACAACAUCGUACCUAAUUGUAGGAAAUGGAAUAAGCUACUGUUUGCACUAUGAGGCGUUCCACUCUUCGCGAACGAGGUCGAAGAAGCUGACGGCACUGACCGUCGCCACAACUGCCAGCAGCACGGCGAGACGCUUCAUUUUAUUGUCUUAAUACCUACGAAAUUAAUAUACAUUUAAAUGUAAUAACUAAAAUAAAUAAAAAAGGAA